UUAUAAUAGAUUCUUUCUAAAUCUCGGAGCAUAUUCUGGCUCAUUUUAUAUUUAUAUUUUCCUUUUCAGCUUUUUAGAACUCAAUUCCGACCUCAGUUUGGUUGCAACUUUGCUACAGACACUAUUUAAUAUCUCGGUCUCCUGUACAUUUUACCAGGUUUACGUUGUAUUGUUUAUAUAGUUUAUAUAGCAAUAUUUACUACAUGUUCAUCAUAUUACGAAAAUAGAUUAAGAGAACUGGGGAAAGAGUGAGGAGAUGAGAAAUUUUCGGAUUUAUUUAUAAUUUCCAAUUAUUAUUUUUAAGACGAAAUUGCCGCGAGACUACAUUGUCCAUGAAAUUAAUGUUUGUGUUUAUUCUACUAAAGGGUAUGAAUGCUCGAUCUCGUGCCAAGGUGCCUACAAUCUUAAUACGCCGCUGCCUGUGUAUGAUUAUAAUAUUACUUCUGUUUUUUGCACAGAAAGCGUGUUUCAUUUCAAAGAUUGACUUCCAAUUAAAUUUAAUUAAUAAUAUGUUGUUUCAUUUCCUUAUUUAACUACCAAUUCUUGUUCAUUUGCAAUUCACUCAAAUAUGUAACUGAACGUUGUCAGGUAAUUUUUUGGCUUUAAAUGAUAUGCCUCAAUGGAAUAUAAAAAAGCAUAAUCCUAUAUAACUAUUGUUUU
rnacentral:misc_RNA from 1 species